GAGACGGUCGGUCUCCCCCUCCCACAACCAGGCUCCAACCAGGCUACUUCAGUGGUAGCGCUGGCACCAGGGCAGAGUACCGCUGGUCUCUGCCCACUCAGCAACCCACCAAGGCAGUCUACCAGCUCCCCGCACAGCCGUGGUAAGGAACCUGGACCUGGACAAGCUGCUACUUUAUCCAGGUGGGGUAAACAUUUAUUGUGGGUGGGAGGUACUGCUGUUUGUGCUUCGUGGGUGGGUUGCUGGACUAACC